AACGAACGCUGGCGGCAUGCCUAACACAUGCAAGUCGAACGAGACCUUCGGGUCUAGUGGCGCACGGGUGCGUAACGCGUGGGAACCUGCCCUUAGGUUCGGAAUAACUCCCCGAAAGGGGUGCUAAUACCGGAUAAUGUCUUCGGACCAAAGAUUUAUCGCCUUUGGAUGGGCCCGCGUUGGAUUAGCUAGUUGGUAGGGUAAAAGCCUACCAAGGCGACGAUCCAUAGCUGGUCUGAGAGGAUGAUCAGCCACACUGGGACUGAGACACGGCCCAGACUCCUACGGGAGGCAGCAGUGGGGAAUAUUGGACGAUGGGCGAAAGCCUGAUCCAGCUAUGCCGCGUGAGUGAUGAAGGCCUUAGGGUUGUAAAGCUCUUUUACCCGGGAUGAUAAUGACAGUACCGGGAGAAUAAGCUCCGGCUAACUCCGUG
rnacentral:rRNA from 1 species